rnacentral:rRNA from 1 species
UACGGAGGGUGCAAGCGUUAAUCGGAUUUACUGGGCGUAAAGCGUGCGUAGGCGGUUCAUUAAGUCGGUUGUGAAAUCCCUGGGCUUAACCUGGGAACUGCAGUCGAUACUGGUGGACUAGAAUGCGGUAGAGGGUGGCGGAACUCCGGGUGUAGCGGUGAAAUGCGUAGAUAUCCGGAAGAACACCGAUGGCGAAGGCAACCACCUGGGCCUGCAUUGACGCUGAGGUACGAAAGCGUGGGGAGCAAACAGG